rnacentral:rRNA from 1 species
CUAAGAAUCUUCCGCAAUGGGGGAAACCCUGACGGAGCGACGCCGCGUGGAUGAUGAAGGCCGUAAGGUUGUAAAAUCCUUUUGUCGGUGAAGAAUAAGGGAGGGAGUGGAAAGCCCUUCUGAUGACGUUAGCCGACGAAUAAGCCCCGGCUAAUUACGUGCCAGCAGCCGCGGUAAUACGUAUGGGGCAAGCGUUGUUCGGAUUUAUUGGGCGUAAAGGGCGUGUAGGCGGCUCAUCAAGUCUGGUGUGAAAUUGCAGGGCCUAACUCUGCAUAUGCGCUGGAAACUGGUGGGCUUGAGUUCUUGAGGGGAAGCUGGAAUUCCAGGUGUAGGGGUGAAAUCUGUAGAUAUCUGGAAGAACACCGGUGGCGAAGGCGAGCUUCUAUCAGAGGACUGACGCUGAGGCGCGAAAGCGUGGGGAGCAAACAGG